GAUGAACGCUGGCGGCGUGCUUAACACAUGCAAGUCGAACGGAAAGGCCCAAGCUUGCUUGGGUACUCGAGUGGCGAACGGGUGAGUAACACGUGGGUGAUCUGCCCUGCACUUCGGGAUAAGCCUGGGAAACUGGGUCUAAUACCGGAUAGGACGAUGGUUUGGAUGCCAUUGUGGAAAGUUCUUUCGGUGUGGGAUGAGCUCGCGGCCUAUCAGCUUGUUGGUGGGGUAAUGGCCUACCAAGGCGUCGACGGGUAGCCGGCCUGAGAGGGUGUACGGCCACAUUGGGACUGAGAUACGGCCCAGACUCCUACGGGAGGCAGCAGUGGGGAAUAUUGCACAAUGGGCGCAAGCCUGAUGCAGCGACGCCGCGUGGGGGAUGACGGCCUUCGGGUUGUAAACUCCUUUCGCUAGGGACGAAGCGUUUUUGUGACGGUACCUGGAGAAGAAGCACCGGCUAACUACGUG
rnacentral:rRNA from 1 species